GAUGAACGCUGGCGGCGUGCCUAAUACAUGCAAGUCGAGCGAACAGAUGAGAAGCUUGCUUCUCUGAUGUUAGCGGCGGACGGGUGAGUAACACGUGGGUAACCUACCUAUAAGACUGGGAUAACUCCGGGAAACCGGGGCUAAUACCGGAUAAUAUUUUGAACCGCAUGGUUCAAUAGCGAAAGACGGUUUCGUCUGUCACUUAUAGAUGGACCCGCGCCGUAUUAGCUAGUUGGUAAGGUAACGGCUUACCAAGGCGACGAUACGUAGCCGACCUGAGAGGGUGAUCGGCCACACUGGAACUGAGACACGGUCCAGACUCCUACGGGAGGCAGCAGUAGGGAAUCUUCCGCAAUGGGCGAAAGCCUGACGGAGCAACGCCGCGUGAGUGAUGAAGGUCUUCGGAUCGUAAAACUCUGUUGUUAGGGAAGAACAAAUUUGUUAGUAACUGAACAAAUCUUGACGGUACCUAACCAGAAAGCCACGGCUAACUACGUGCCAGCCGCCGCGGUAA
rnacentral:rRNA from 1 species